rnacentral:rRNA from 1 species
AGAGCGAACGCUGGCGGCAGGCCUAACACAUGCAAGUCGAGCGCCCCGCAAGGGGAGCGGCAGACGGGAGAGUAACACGUGGGAACGUACCCUUUGGUUCGGAACAACACAGGGAAACUUGUGCUAAUACCGGAUAAGCCCUUACGGGGAAAGAUUUAUCGCCAAAGGAUCGGCCCGCGUCUGAUUAGCUUGUUGGUGAGGUAACGGCUCACCAAGGCUACGAUCAGUAGCUGGUCUGAGAGGAUGAUCAGCCUCACUGGGACUGAGACACGGCCCAGACUCCUACGGGAGGCAGCAGUGGGGAAUAUUGGACAAUGGGCGCAAGCCUGAUCCAGCCAUGCCGCGUGGAUGAUGAAGGCCCUAGGGUUGUAAAGUCCUUUCGACGGGGAAGAUAAUGACGGUACCCGUAGAAGAAGCCCGGCUAACUUCGUGCCAGCAGCCGC